UACGUAGGGUGCAAGCGUUGUCCGGAAUUAUUGGGCGUAAAGAGCUCGUAGGCGGUUUGUCGCGUCUGCUGUGAAAACUCGGGGCUUAACCCCGGGCCUGCAGUGGGUACGGGCAGACUAGAAUGCGGUAGGGGAGACUGGAAUUCCUGGUGUAGCGGUGAAAUGCGCAGAUAUCAGGAGGAACACCGGUGGCGAAGGCGGGUCUCUGGGCCGUAACUGACGCUGAGGAGCGAAAGCGUGGGGAGCGAACAGG
rnacentral:rRNA from 1 species